rnacentral:rRNA from 1 species
AGUGAACGCUGGCGGUAGGCCUAACACAUGCAAGUCGAACGGCAGCACAGUAAGAGCUUGCUCUUACGGGUGGCGAGUGGCGGACGGGUGAGGAAUACAUCGGAAUCUACUUUUUCGUGGGGGAUAACGUAGGGAAACUUACGCUAAUACCGCAUACGACCUACGGGUGAAAGCAGGGGAUCUUCGGACCUUGCGCGAUUGAAUUAGCCGAUGUCGGAUUAGCUAGUUGGCGGGGUAAAGGCCCACCAAGGCGACGAUCCGUAGCUGGUCUGAGAGGAUGGUCGGCCACACUGGAACGGAGACACGGUCCAGACUCCUACGGGAGGCAGCAGUGGGGAAUAUUGGACAAUGGGCGCAAGCCUGAUCCAGCCAUACCGCGUGGGUGAAGAAGGCCUUCGGGUUGUAAAGCCCUUUUGUUGGGAAAGAAAAGCAGCAGGUUGAUACCCCGCUGUUCUGACGGUACCCAAAGAAUAAGCACCGGCUAACUUCGUG